GAUGAACGCUAGCGGCAGGCCUAAUACAUGCAAGUCGAACGGCGUAGCAAUACACAGUGGCGCACGGGUGCGUAACACGUAUGCAACCUACCUUACAUUGGGGGAUAGCCCUUCGAAAGGGAGAUUAAUACCGCAUAAGACAGUAACUAGGCAUCUAGUAGCUGUUAAAGAUUUAUCGAUGUAAGCUGGGCAUGCGUCCAAUUAGUUAGUUGGUGAGGUAACGGCUCACCAAGACGAUGAUUGGUAGGGGAACUGAGAGGUCAAUCCCCCACACUGGCACUGAGAUACGGGCCAGACUCCUACGGGAGGCAGCAGUAGGGAAUAUUGGGCAAUGGGCGCAAGCCUGACCCAGCCAUGCCGCGUGCAGGAAGAAGGCGUUAUGCGUUGUAAACUGCUUUUAUACAGGAAGAAACGACCCUUGCGAGGGGCAUUGACGGUACUGUAUGAAUAAGCACCGGCUAACUCCGUGCCAGCCGCCGCAGUAAAAC
rnacentral:rRNA from 1 species